AUGGAGGGUUGCAUCACGGAGAGCGGCACAAAUCUGAGAUUGGAGGGUUGUGGUUGGUCUAUUAUGCAUCGUAGCGGAGUGACCGGUGUGAUGGCUGUUUUCAGCGUGAGAAAUAUGGCGAGAACAUGUCGUAGACGUUGGCUUCUUGCGGUGCUUGAUAAAACUCCUCAACCAACCUUGCUUAUUUGGCUCAACUCUGUAAUUGUUUAA